rfam:Heterocephalus glaber contig118173, whole genome shotgun sequence.
GGGGGUGUAGCUCAGUGGUAUAGUGCUUGCCUAGCAUGCACAAGGCCCAGGGUUCCAUCCCUAGCACCCUCC